AGCCUGGGCUUGAGCGCGCGCAGAAGUCAGCUUCGUGACUUCCUUCUCAGGAUGGAACCAGCUUGGUGGCUUGAGGGUAUGUAAAAGCAAUAUCUGAGCCUUCUGCCUGCUUCCAAUAUGACUAAGCUUAAAAGGAGAUAACCCAAAAACUGCAGGAUCAUCCUGAUUUUCUGAUCUCCAAAACAAUAAAACCUUGAAUAUUUCCCUGGACUCCCUUAAACAGUUUAAUCCCUAAUAUUUACCUUGCUAAUCUCUGACCUUUGUGACAUUAAUUUGUCUGACCUUUGUGAGUAUAAUAACCAUGUGAGAAAGUUACUGUUUUUCCACCAUGAACAGACUACUGUCAACCGGUAAUCCUGGUAAUUUUAGGGGAUUUUUUUUUCCCUUUAAGUACUGGUUGGCAAACUAGUCCUUCCGUCUAACUCCUCGCAUCUUUUGCAAGUAAACCCCUUUUCUAAGUGAAUCUAUCUCUGAGUCUUUCUUUGACAUGUGCCAGUGUUACAAUCUGUCUUUAGAUAUGCUCUGGCUUACAGAGAAAAAAGAACGAAACUUUUAACACUUUUUGCUUCUGCUUCCCGUGUGAGGGAGUCUUCGUUGCAAUGACAACUCUUAAACGAAAGCAAAACAAAAAUAAUUGCAGAAGUCCACAGAAGCAAACACAAACAAAUGAAACUUUCCAUUUAAAACAGGACUGUAACCUCAAAUAUCCUCAAAAUCCAGAUCGGUGGUUCUCAGUCUUGACUGAGCUUUGGAAUCACUUAGGGAGUAUAUACAUAUACACGUGUGUGUGUGUGUGUGUUUGUGUCUGUGUGUGUGUGUGUGUGUGUGUGUGUGUGUGUGUGUGUGUGUAUACUGAUUUCUGUGUCCUAUCCCAGAGAUUCUGAUGUAACUAGUCUUGAGUGAAGCCAAUCAGAAUUUUUUAAAGCAUAGGAUACGGCUGUGCAUUUGAAGCUGGAAGCCACUAACCCAGGCGCUGAUCAAUGAAGAACUAGGCUGGAGUGCUGUCUUACAAGGUCAUAUCAUUAGCACAUCCUUCCCAUUG
rnacentral:lncRNA from 1 species